rnacentral:rRNA from 1 species
GAGUAAUGUCUGGGAAACUGCCUGAUGGAGGGGGAUAACUACUGGAAACGGUGGCUAAUACCGCAUAACGUCGCAAGACCAAAGAGGGGGACCUUCGGGCCUCUUGCCAUCAGAUGUGCCCAGAUGGGAUUAGCUUGUUGGUGAGGUAACGGCUCACCAAGGCGACGAUCCCUAGCUGGUCUGAGAGGAUGACCAGCCACACUGGAACUGAGACACGGUCCAGACUCCUACGGGAGGCAGCAGUGGGGAAUAUUGCACAAUGGGCGCAAGCCUGAUGCAGCCAUGCCGCGUGUAUGAAGAAGGCCUUAGGGUUGUAAAGUACUUUCAGCGGGGAGGAAGGUGUUGCGGUUAAUAACCGCAGCAAUUGACGUUACCCGCAGAAGAAGCACCGGCUAACUCCGUGCCAGCAGCCGCGGUAAUACGGAGGGUGCAAGCGUUAAUCGGAAUUACUGGGCGUAAAGCGCACGCAGGCGGUCUGUCAAGUCGGAUGUGAAAUCCCCGGGCUCAACCUGGGAACUGCAUUCGAAACUGGCAGGCUUGAGUCUUGUAGAGGGGGGUAGAAUUCCAGGUGUAGCGGUGAAAUGCGUAGAGAUCUGGAGGAAUACCGGUGGCGAAGGCGGCCCCCUGGACAAAGACUGACGCUCAGGUGCGAAAGCGUGGGGAGCAAACAGGAUUAGAUACCCUGGUAGUCCACGCCGUAAACGAUGUCUACUUGGAGGUUGUGCCCUUGAGGCGUGGCUUCCGGAGCUAACGCGUUAAGUAGACCGCCUGGGGAGUACGGCCGCAAGGUUAAAACUCAAAUGAAUUGACGGGGGCCCGCACAAGCGGUGGAGCAUGUGGUUUAAUUCGAUGCAACGCGAAGAACCUUACCUGGUCUUGACAUCCACAGAACUUUCCAGAGAUGGAUUGGUGCCUUCGGGAACUGUGAGACAGGUGCUGCAUGGCUGUCGUCAGCUCGUGUUGUGAAAUGUUGGGUUAAGUCCCGCAACGAGCGCAAC